CUACGAGUCGCUGCAGUCGAGAAUAGUCUACAAUGGGGGAAACCCUGAUAGUGCGACGCCGCGUGAACGAAGAAGCUUUUCGGAGUGUAAAGUUCUUUUCUGUAUGAGCAAUGCUUUAUUGUUUAAGAGAUAAUAGAGAGAGAUAUUAGUACAGGAAUAAGCCACGGCUAACUCCGUGCCAGCAGCCGCGGUAAUACGGGGGUGGCAAGCGUUGUCCGGAAUUACUAGGCGUAAAGGGCAGGUAGGCGGAUAUUCAAGUCAGGCGUUAAAGGCAUCAGCUCAACUGGUGUACGGCGUUUGAAACUGGAUAUCUAGAGUCAGGUAGAGGUAGAUGGAAUUCCUAGUGUAGCGGUGGAAUGCGCAGAGAUUAGGAAGAACACCAAAGGCGAAGGCAAUCUACUGGGCCAUGACUGACGCUAAACUGCGAAGGUGUGGGUAUCAAACAGGAUUAGAUACCCCGGUAGUC
rnacentral:rRNA from 1 species